GACGAACGCUGGCGGCGUGCUUAACACGUGCAAGUCGAACGGAAAGGCCCUGCUUUUGUGGGGUGCUCGAGUGGCGAACGGGUGAGUAACACGUGAGUAACCUGCCCUUGACUUUGGGAUAACUUCAGGAAACUGGGGCUAAUACCGGAUAGGAGCUCCUGCUGCAUGGCGGGGGUUGGAAAGUUUCGGCGGUUGGGGAUGGACUCGCGGCUUAUCAGCUUGUUGGUGGGGUAGUGGCUUACCAAGGCUUUGACGGGUAGCCGGCCUGAGAGGGUGACCGGCCACAUUGGGACUGAGAUACGGCCCAGACUCCUACGGGAGGCAGCAGUGGGGAAUAUUGCACAAUGGGCGGAAGCCUGAUGCAGCAACGCCGCGUGCGGGAUGACGGCCUUCGGGUUGUAAACCGCUUUCGCCUGUGACGAAGCGUGAGUGACGGUAAUGGGUAAAGAAGCACCGGCUAACUACGUG
rnacentral:rRNA from 1 species